CAUAUAUAUACACACACACACACCUCUGGAUUUAUUUUCCUGUGCUGGCGAGAACAGAACAAAGCGGCUGCUGCUGCUGGCUGGCUGUGGGAAGAAGCGGAUCCCAUCACUUGGAGGUCAGCCCGGCAGCAUCCUGCAACCGAUCAAGGCCAUGCGGCUGUGAGAAUGUGCAAUCAAAUACUCCUCACCUGUCCGACCACCGUCUUUGAUUUCAGCCUUCUGCCAGAUAAAAACAAAAAGCGCUGCAGGAACUUAGCGGGUCAGACAACAUCUGUGGAGGGAAUGGACUAACAAUGAUUCUGAACUACGGGGAGAAAGCUGGAA